UACGAAGGGGGCUAGCGUUGCUCGGAAUUACUGGGCGUAAAGCGAGUGUAGGCGGUUCGGUAAGUCGGAUGUGAAAGCCCCGGGCUCAACCCGGGAAGUGCACUCGAUACUGCCGAGCUAGAGUGUCGGAGAGGUUGGUGGAAUUCUCGGUGUAGAGGUGAAAUUCGUAGAUAUCGAGAGGAACACCGGUGGCGAAGGCGGCCAACUGGACGAACACUGACGCUGAGACUCGAAAGCGUGGGGAGCAAACAGG
rnacentral:rRNA from 1 species